CCCUACUGCUCCGGUCCUCCCUAACGGCCGCAUCCUUGUCGAGCUCCCUCCCCGCGAGCGGCGCACUGGGGCUGCGUGAUUCCCGGAUGGAGUGCGGCCACUGACCCACGCAGCCUCGCCUCUCCUCAGAUCCACCCAUGCUUCCCAGCGACGCCGCUGCCGUCGUCAAGCGCGCUCCCGCCGGCGCGGAGCUCGCCUGCACGCGGCCGUCCGUGCUCGACAUAGCCGGCCCGCUCUACUCUCGCCCGCUUGCGACCUCGCUGAAGCCUUGCCGCGUGGCUCCUGCCCGCUCGCGCGGAUCUUGCCCACAUCCGGCCGCGGAGCUUGGUAGAGCCUGCAGUCGCAGCUCCCGCCUGUCCGCUCCUGCUAGAUUCUUGCUACGGGGAGCAAACGACGGAGGGAGGACGCGUGCUGCCAUGCUGGGGAAGAAGCAGGUGGCGGUGAUUGGAGAAGUAGAGCUGAUCGAUUGGGCAGCACCUCCUCUGAUUUGAUGCAUUGAAGCACAGCGAAGGAAAAUUGGGGGGAAGAGAAAUGGAGAGAUGUUGCAAGCUAGUUGUUCGACAAAAUAGCAAUCUGUCUUUUUUUUUAAGUGCAUCCAGUAAGUGAUUGGCAGGACUAUGAGAGACCCAGAGACGAAAAAGGGCUGGGCUGCUGGACGCUCUCUGUUUUUUCAAGGAACCAUUUUGACGACCUGGACAAGGAAGUUUGAUGUGGUCUGUAGUGGGAUGAGAUGAGGGUAAUUCUGAGUUUAGAUAACUUUGUUAGCUGAUAGUGACUUGUGUAUUUAAAAUUUAGAUGCAUGGGUUUACUUGUGGAUUAUAUUGUAGGGUAAAUGAAUUUGCUUAUCUAGGAGAUAAGCCAUUUUGUUGCUUACGAAAGCUUUUGAUGUAUGUGCUAAGAUGUUGACAAUAUGCAUGGUUAAUUAACUGUAUCUGUGUAUGAUUUAAAAUUGAUUGAUAUAUUUU